UGGUCUAGGCGCGGCGCCGUCCGGCUGCUCGCCCUGGCUGCUCGCGCGCCGUGACGGCGAGCCGUCCCGGUUUCCCCCUCUGCGGUAAUACCUCCCACCACCCCCCCUUCGCACCCGGUGGCGCACAAGCGGUUUUCUUUCCCCCAGCUCGCGAUCCGUUUCCCGACGCCGUCGGCCCCAGGUCAGUGCUGCCGCCGCUGUUGCCGUCGACCGCUGGCCCGAGUUGCGACCCGAUCCACGUAAUGAGCGGGAAGCCAUCCAUUGGCUCGCCGUUGUCCUUUCAGAGCUCCGCGAGGUCGCUCUGCUCUCGUCGUCGUCGCCCCAGGUCAGUACCUGCUGCAGUGCCGCCACUGCCGUUGCCGUUGACCGCCGGCUGGAGUCCUGCGACCUGAUCCACCUAACGCAUGGGACCUCACCCAUCGGCCCCUGCCUUCCGCUCCGCUGAAGCUUCAUCAGCAUGGCGCCGACUGGCUCAAAAGGCAAGAUUCACUGCGGCAGCUCGGCUCGUCAUCGUCACCAGAAGCUGUCGAUUUCUUCGGAGGUUUCCUCGCCAUCCACCCCCUCCUCCAUCCGAUUCCUUGUGGUUCUCCCUGAUUUUCCAUGGAGGCUUGUGUAGGUAAUAGCUCUUUUUAAUUCCCGUGUGUACAAGAAGGAACAUCAAUAUCAAGCAGGUCGAACAGCACAGAUGGGUGAGGACAGAUCCCUCAGCUCCAUGCUAAGGUCUCUUCCUCAUCGUGUGUUUUUCAUUGGAGGCAAUAGUGAGAUCUAUGAACUGCUCAUUCCCCUUCCCCUGUUCUUUCCUGUAAUACAUCGGUCUCACAUUGACCAAGAUUGAACAACUAUCCGUAUCCUCUACAAAUCAAAGAUCUCGUGCACUAAAUUACUCAAUUCCUCCGAUUCACCCUCUGUCCUCGAAUCCCCACAGCCACAGAUCCAUUUUUCUUCAUAUCAAUCUUUUCUGAAUCGAAUUAGUUUGCUUCUUUUUUCUAGGAACGGCAGCUAGUCAUUUAAGUAUUCAUGGAUUAAUUGAGUUGUUCAUAGACAAGCAUACCUUCGUUCUAGUGGCUAUCAAUGGCAAGAUUUCAGAUCUUUGUAAAUGAUCAAUCAGCUGUUGUUGCGGCUCCAAUGAAGUCCAGGCCAACAGCGUGCCUCAAUCAUGCUUGUAUAUUGUGCAGCAGGCCAGCUGCGAGGACUGUUUGCUGGAGUUGCUUGAUAGCAAGAGAUCGCACAUUCUGUAGCGUGGAGGAGUUGCUUGCUUGCCGCCGCAAUGACUAAGAUGAGGUCGCAAGGAAACUUCAAGAGUGGAUACAUGAGCAUGGAUUGCAGCGAGCUCAGUGUGAUAUGUCCGUGGUCCACGAGGAUAAACAUGCACUGUAUCAUUUAGGUGUACACAUUUAGCACCGUAUCAGUAGCUAGCUGAGAGAACGGCUACAAGGGACAAGAUGGGCCUUGAGACUGAUAGAGACAGAGAAUAAAUUGGAUUUAUUCUUCAAUUGUAUUUCUGGGCUCACCUGGUUGCUCAUUUGAUAAAUCUAUUUGCAAAAUACAUAUGAUGUAAUUGGAAAUAUUAUAGCGGCACUGCUUUAUGGAUUGGAAAUAAAAUACAUAAUUUGUUGGUAAA